rnacentral:rRNA from 1 species
UACGUAGGGGGCAAGCGUUGUCCGGAAUCAUUGGGCGUAAAGCGCGUGUAGGCGGCCCGAUAAGUCCGCUGUGAAAGUCCAGGGCUCAACCCUGGGAUGCCGGUGGAUACUGUCGGGCUCGAGUCCGGAAGAGGCGAGUGGAAUCCUAGUGUAGCGGUGAAAUGACGCAGAUAUCAGGAGGAACACCGAUGGCGAAGGCAGAUCUCUGGGCCGUAACUGACGCUGAGGAGCGAAAGCAUGGGGAGCGAACAGG